rnacentral:rRNA from 1 species
GAUGAACGCUGGCGGCGUGCCUAAUACAUGCAAGUCGAGCGAACAGACGAGGAGCUUGCUCCUCUGACGUUAGCGGCGGACGGGUGAGUAACACGUGGAUAACCUACCUAUAAGACUGGGAUAACUUCGGGAAACCGGAGCUAAUACCGGAUAAUAUAUUGAACCGCAUGGUUCAAUAGUGAAAGACGGUUUUGCUGUCACUUAUAGAUGGAUCCGCGCCGCAUUAGCUAGUUGGUAAGGUAACGGCUUACCAAGGCAACGAUGCGUAGCCGACCUGAGAGGGUGAACGGCCACACUGGAACUGAGACACGGUCCAGACUCCGACGGGAGGCAGAAGUAGGGAAGCUUCCGCAAUGGGCGAAAGCCUGACGGAGCAACGCCGCGUGAGUGAUGAAGGUCUUCGGAUCGUAAAACGCUGUUAUGAGGGAAGAACAAAUGUGUAAGUAACUAUGCACGUCUUGACGGUACCUAAUCAGAAAGCCACGGCUAACUACGUG